rnacentral:lncRNA from 1 species
ACGUAUCUCACUCCCAUACUCCACUUUUCCUUUUUUAUGCUAUGGGUCAUUUGUAUUUUGACGAUAUUUGACUUGGGUGAUCUUUUAUUUGUAGCUUUGAUUCCAUUAUCGGAGUUCAGAGAGAAGGAAGUGAUGAAACAUUAUGAGGUGGAACCUGAUCCUGAGAUUUUGGAUUUGGUUGAUAUUGCUUCCAGGCAGAAACAGGUUUUCCCAGGCUGUUUUGUUUUGUAUUUUUACUUUUUUCUUUUUUUUUUUUUAUCUGAGUUUGCUCACAAAAUUUGAUACAGGGGACUCUUGUGGCUAAGAUUUACUGGGGUGAUGCCAGGGAUAAAAUAUGUGAAUCCGUUGAAGACUUGAAGCUUGACUGUUUGGUAAUGGGCAGCAGAGGCCUUGGCACCAUUCAAAGGUAAUUCAAUCUUUACCAUCUUCCUGGGAAACUGAAAAAUAUGUUUUCACGGGCGAAACUAAUCAUUCAUCUAGGUACAUAUAUUGAUUAAAUUGUUAUGAGCCCUCUCUUUGAUACAGAUUUCAGAAAUGGAGUCUUUGUUACUAUAAUUCGAAUUUAUUGAAAUACUCUUGUCAAUAACAAAACCUUGAAACAUCUACAAAGAACAAUUUCAGGUCGAAUUGUAACAUAUUGUUCCUUGCUCUUGUUGUCAUCAUUCUUUUUUAGUUCUGAUAUUGUGAUUUUGAUUGAAAUUAGGGUACUGAUCGGAAGUGUGAGCAAUUAUGUGAUGGUAAAUGCAACUUGUCCUGUAACAAUUGUGAAGGAUCCUAGUGCUCAUGGAUUUUGAUCACAAAUGUCUGAAAUUACUUUUCUGCAAUAGUAUAUGCAUCUUUGGAAAUAAUUGAUGUGCCUUGUUUCUAUUUCUAUGUGAGUGAUUUAUGUAUGUAUGUAUGGACAUCUUGAUUCUCAGAUUGUACUCGGAUCCUGAGAGACUGCUUAAUUAAGAUCAGUUCCACAUGUUGCGACAUUGUCCAUGGUUUGGAUUAAAGUAACCAUGUUCUACAAUCUUUUAUUGUUAUUUAUUUUACUUUAGAAACUAUUAAUAUCUAUGCAUCUAUUUACUCAUAUAUUUAAGCAUUUGAUUUCAAUGUUGUCCAUUAACGGAGUUUUAAUUUACUAAAUCAUCAAAAAAAAAAAUUGUAUAACUAUAGCUGUACUCAUCCAAUAUUAUUUUGAAGGUAUUUCUUUUUUUUUUUUAAUAUAAACUCUGAAAAAUACAUACAUACAAUAAGAUGAUUGGUAAGAGUACCGGUUUUUGUACUAGGAGUCGGAUUGCAAUUUGCCCCAUCUACUUAAAAAAUAGGCAAAUUAGUUAUUGUACGUCAAAUUAAAGAGUAAACUAGUCCUUCUAUUAAAACGUGGCACACCACGUGUCAUUGCUUGGUUAUUUUGGCAGUUACGCCAAUUUUUAACAGUACAAAUGGAUAAAGCUUAAAAUAGAAAUGACCGAUUUGCCUUUUGAUUUAGCGUAUAUAGACUAAUUUGCACAUUUUUUUAGUAAAUGGGACAAAAUGCAAUCCAAAUUCUAGUACAAUAGUCUCCAUGGUACUUUUACGUAAGAUGAUUUGAUUAUAUAUAUAAUUUUUUUUACUAACUCUAUAAUACACGGGAGUUUAUUUGAUAUAUUGCCUCAAGUAUUUAGACUCCGCUAGCAAAGUCAAGAGGGUGACAAGUGUCUUAUAGGGGUAUAGUCAAUUUUUUAAAGAUGCUUGUGGAAUAAAAAAAGUGCAUUAUCAAUGUACUAAAUAUUCACCCAUAAUAUACAUGUUAGACUCUCAAGCGCUUGUAAAGUUUUAAUAGAACUCCACAACCUAUGUAUGAGAUAAUUUUCCCAAUUUUUAUAUCUAUUUUUAUAAAUUUAUUACAUAAAAUUUUGGGUAAACUACAUUGGCAAUAUAACCCAACUAUAAGUAAGUUUCUUUCUUGGUCACCUAACUAUGAAAAGUUACAAAAUAGUCAUUCAUGUAACACCCCUAACCCGUAUCCGUUGCCGAAUUAGGGUUAUGAGACAUUAUCAAACAUAGCAGAUCAAAAUAGACAUUUAUUUAAAUUCAAGCACUAAGCAAACUCGUGUAUAUAUAUAUAUAUAUAUGGAUCACAUAAUCAAUUUAACGAUGUGCAAUGAAACAUAUUACAAGUGCUUAAGGCAUAAAGAUGUUCGAACCACAUGAUUUAACAUUAAUGGCAUCUAUAUACUUAAAACGCAUCCCAGCAUAUAACAUUAUAUAGUGUAUAUAUAUAUAAAACAUAAAACAUAAAUCAAAACUUAUAUACAUAUAUAUCAUAAAUUGAAUAUCGAUUAUUUUACUUCAAAACUUGCGCAUAUUAACCAACCGAACCAUCUUAUACUAUUAAAUAAUUCAAUAUAAAUUCAAGCAUAGUAAUAUUUCAUCAUAGCCGAACCUAUAUAGUCAUCAUACAAUCUAAUACAUCAUAAACUCAUUGUUUACCAUUCAUUAAUCAAGUAUAUAAGCAACUUUGGUGCAACUCAUAAGACCUAAUAAACAUAUUUUAUUUCGUAACGAAUAAUCAAAACAAACUAUCAUUCCAUCUAUAGUAUAAUUAACAUUUCACCUAAAUUUAUUAACAUAUAAGUAAAUCUAAUUAUCAUGCCAACAUGUAUUUAUUCGACCAACUCAUUACAAUUAACAUUAUGACAUAUGCGUAUAUGAAAAUACAUAUAUAAUUUCAAUUAAUCUAUCAUGACCAACAUUUAUGUAUAUCAUCUAUUCUUUCCACACCAAUUCUUAAUACAAAACAUACAUAUCCAUCAAUUCAAUAUCAUAGCACAACCGAAACUCAUCACUUAACCAAUUUACAGCAUAAACACCACUUCAAAUUAAGGUUAGAUCAUGAUCAAAUAUACAUUAUGUUCUUUCAUACUCUUUAGCCGAAUUGUUUAGUAAAAACUUACAAGCAUUUUUACUAUGUUUUAAACUUACUAAUACAAACUAAUUCAUGAAUUAUUCAUGAUGUAACCAAUCAAGACAUAAAAUCAAAUUACCAAUCAUACUAAUUAUCAUUUAUACAAAUAGACUUAUACCAUGGUCGAAUCAUUGAAACCAAACACAUUGAACAUUCAACCUAGAAUAUAUAAAACUAAGUUUAAACAUAAUGAUCAAGCCAUUUUUAAUUAAACCGAAUUUAAGCAUGGGAAUUAGACCAUUAAAGCAUAUUCGUUAAUACCAAAUUCAAAACAAAAAGAGAUAAUCCAUUUUCACACGGCUUUUAAUUACACAUACACAUUGAUUUCAAAAUCACCAUUUUUAACUAAGCUAUACAUGCCAUAUAUUUGAAAACAAUUUAGCAAAAUACCAAAAGGAGACACCGAUAGUGUGAUGAGCUUAGCUGACGAUACCCGAACACGUAGCGAUCUCCAAAAUCUAUACAUCGAAACAAUAAUCCAACACAUUGUAAGCUAAUUUAGCUUAGUAAGUUACAAGCAAAUAACUCUACAAUUUAACUUGAUAUCUAGAAUAAUAUUUAACCAAUUCAUACUUCUAAAUCAUCUUACCUUUAACUUCCCAUAGCAUAAUAUAAUUAUUCACUUCAUACUAUGAUUUAACAAAAAUCAAUAUAAAUACUCAACUAUAAGCAUUUCUUCAAAUUUAAGUACAAGGCCAAGUACUUUAUACAUUUUAUUAUCAUAAAAUAUAAUGAAUCAUCUUAAAUAAAUAUAACUCCAAUUAUAAUCACCACCUAGGUUUGAUACAUACAGAAAUUAAUCUUGAAUACCAUCAAAAUAAUUAUUACUCACUUUGUUACUCAUGAUUUCUCGAUAAGUCAAAUACUCGAUAUUAAUAAUCUUUCGAAAAUAUUUAAUAAGUACGCACACUUAGUGCUUUACCAUUAUACUCGCACACUUAGUGCAUUUCAAUUAAACUCGCACACUUAGUGCUAAUCUCAUUAUCGUUUAUUUUUAUACUCGCACACUUAGUGUUGGGGGUCAACAACUCAAUACGUCAUAUUUCAAAAAUCGUAUCACUACAUAUAUAUCAAUUCAAUUCAGCAUAAUUAUGUAGAUGUUAAGAUAAUUUAGAACGACACAAAUAUGUAUGCUUAAUAACUUACCUCGGAUGUCGUCGACAAAUAGAUCGACUACUCAACUACCUUUGAUUUCCCCCGAUCUAAAUCCGAUUUCUUGGUUUCUUGAUCUAAAAAUAUUCAAAUAAAUCUCAUUUAAACAUAUUUUCAUUCAAUUUAGUCUAAGAACACAUAAAUGGGCAAAUUACAUUUUUACCCCUAAUAUUUCACAUUUUCACAAUUUAGUCCUUUUUGCUCAAAACACAAAAUACACAAAAUUUGACUACACUCCUUAAGGGUCGAAUAUUCCUAGUAUCCAUACAAACUCAUACAUUUCAUUUAUUUCACAUUUUAGCCCCUAAAAAAAUUAUUUUUACAACUUAACCCUAAUUACUCAAAUUCAUCAACAAUUCAAAGACAAAACAUGCUAAUCUAACACAUAUAUUUCAUAUUUCCUCAACUAACAUCAUAAAACUCAAACAUUCAUCAAUGGCACAUUUCAAAAUUAUCAUCAAUUCACAAAAUUUAAACAUGGGUUUUAAAGAACACAAAGCAACGAUCUCAAAAACGUAAAAAUUAUCAAAAACCGAACAAAAGACGAACCUCAAUCUAGUUCAACAAUGGCCGAACCCUAGCCAAGCUUUUAUCUUUUAUUCUUUCUCUAGUUUCGAAAGUGAAGAACGAUGAUAUGAUAAUGGCCUUGUUAUUAUCACUAUUAUUAUUAUAACAUAUAUUAUAAUAUUAUCAUUUUUUAUUUUUAAUGUAUAAAAACCAUAUAUUAAAACAAUAUGCCGUCCACUAUUUAUAGUAUUGGCUAAAUUUCAACAUAAGGCCUCCAAAUUAUAAAGACAAAAAUAAUUAGGCACUUUCUUAUUUAACCAUCAAAUUUUCAUUUUACGCGAUUAAGCCCCUUUUUAUUAAAUCGACACCCAAACAAUAAAAUUAAUUUACGAAACUUUAACACAUUUAAAUUCACACAUCAUAAACACACAAAAUAAUAUUAAAAUGUUUUUCAGACUCGGAUUUGUGGUCCCAAAAUCACUAUUCCGAUUAGGGUCAAAAUUGGGCUGUUACAAUUCAACUAUCCGAAUUUUUCUUUUUGUUACCAACCAUCAAAUGACUAAUGAAAAGUGACACAAUAGUUUUUAAAAUUAGCAUAAUAACAAUUUUAACCCUCAACAUUUAUAUAUUAUGUCAAUUUAGUCUCAAAUCUAAAAAAUUGUACUCUCAAAUUUACAUAUUGUGUAAUUUGUUCCUUUUGCAGUUUUUUGUGACCCUUUUCAACAUUGUCUCUACGUUUGGUUUAAUGAAAAAAAAUGAACAACAACAAGAAGUAAAACAACUCGAAUUUUGAAAAAUAGCCAAUUCAACUGCUUAAUAAAAAAAUAUUUGUUUCGUUAAUUCAAUCCAAUUGUAAGUCUAGCAACUUUAAAAAAUUGAAAUAAAAAUUGAGCUUUGAUUUGUUUCGUUAAAGACAAUCAAUUCAAGUUAACAAAUAAUAAAUUAAUUAUCAUAGAGAGAUAUCAAAAUUUUAAUCAUUUGAAAUAUAAAGAAAGUAAUAUAUUCGGGAAUUAUCUAUUUCAGAUUAGCUCAACCUCUUACCCUUACAACAUUGAUUUAAAUCACAUUACUAAUUUAUUUAAGAGAAUAACUUAUAUUAAAAUAAUUUUUACUUUUAUAUAUCAAUGAAAAUCAUGAAAUAAAAUGAUAUCAUUAAUUUUCAAACACAUAAAAUCUUUAUUAUACACAUCCAUAUACAAUAACAUUUGUGUUUCUUUUUUUUUUCAAAAUUUAAUUAUUUAUUUUACAAAAUAAUUUAAUUAAAAUUAAAAUUAAAAUGAGUUAAAUAAUAUAUAAUAAAAAUUGAUCACAUGGUUUUAUUUCAUUUUGCCCAAAAAUUAAGAUAUUUAGGAUUAUUAUAAUAUAAAUUAUUCUCAUUAUUUAAAUUAGAUUUUGUUACACCUACAAUGCGGAUGAAAUAAAAUAUUUUAUAUUAAAAGCAUAUUCUUUUAAAAAUUUUAAAAUAAUGAAUAUAAGUAGAAUGCAGUUGACUAUAAAAUACAUAUUUGAUCUUGUAACUCUUUUAUUUAAAGAUGAUAUAAAAAUACUGCUGUAAUAAUAAUAUUUAUAAAAAUAAAUAAAUAAAUUUAUGCAAAAAACUUGUUCGAGAUCUAUGUCAUUGCUUUUUCUUUCUAGUAGAAAAAUGUUUUAUUUAUGAUUUUUCUAUUAAAUAGCGAUAGAGAUAAGAUGGAAUGAGAGUUUCAUAUAAUUCUUAAUCGUUUUAAUUUGUAUUCCAAUAAGAACCUGGCAAGCCAAUCCAACAAAAUACAUAUCGAAUAAAUGCCUUGGUCUUCACAAAAAAGAAGAAGAAGAAGAUGCUGAGCAUCUGGUAGCUUUCUCUUUGUUCCUCCAAACUGUGUGCUUAGAUUUGAAGACCUAGUCCCUGUGAUCAAAUCUUGUUGUUCAUUUCUGGGUUUAAUUUCUCAAGAAAAAGAAGAUGACAAAAGAUAGGCAAAUCGGUGUAGCAAUGGAUUUCUCCAAGGGAAGCAAAGCAGCUCUUAAAUGGUCAACCGACAAUCUGGUAGACAAAGGAGAUACCCUUUACCUCAUCCACGUCAAACCCAAUCAGAGCGACGAGUCUCGUAACCUUCUUUGGUCCACCAGUGGCUCACGUAAGUCACUGCCAUACUCCACUUCCGUUUUUGAUCAAGUUUUAAAACUAUGGGUCAUUGGUAUUUUGACGAUCUUUGACUUGGUGAUCUUUUAUUUGUAGCUUUGAUUCCAUUAUCGGAGUUCAGAGAGAAGGAAGUGAUGAAACAUUAUGAGGUGGAACCUGAUCCUGAGGUUUUAGACUUGGUUGAUACGGCUUCAAGGCAGAAAGAGGUGAAUAUUGUCACAAAGAUUUACUGGGGUGAUGCCAGGGAUAAAAUAUGUGAAUCUGUUGCAGAUUUGAAGCUUGAUUGUUUGGUAAUGGGCAGCAGAGGCCUUGGCACCAUUCAAAGGUAAUUCAAUCUUUAUCUUCUACCUGGGAAAUUGAAAUAUGUGUUCAAGGGUGAAACUACUUUGGGUCUAGUCAUUCAUUUAGAUAGAUAUAGUCUUUGAUUUACUUAUUGCAGAGUGCACUCUUUUAUACGUAAAGUUCUGAGUUGGAAUUUACUUAUACACUCUUGCCAAUUACAAAACCUUGAAAAAUUAAUGGACAUCUAAAGAAAACAAUUCCAAUUUCCGUCCAUGGUCCGACGGGUUGGAUUGUAACAUAAAUGGAUCAACUGUUUCUUGCUCUUGUC